rnacentral:rRNA from 1 species
CCUUAGAGUUUGAUCCUGGCUCAGGAUGAUCCUUGGCGGUGUGCCUAAUACAUGCAAGUCGAACGGUGACUAUUUUGUAGCAAUACGAAUGAAAUCAUAGUGGCGAACGGGUGAGUAACGCGUUGGUGAUCUGCCUCGAAGUGUGGAAUAACUUCCCGAAAGGGUAGCUAAUACCGCAUACUCUCUCAAGGUUUAAAAAAUUGAGAGUAAAGGAUUUAUUCUCUUCGAGAGGAGCCUGCCUCCCAUCAGCUAGUUGGUAGGGUAAUACCCUACCAAGGCAAUGACGGGUAGGGGACCUGAGAGGGUGCCCCCCCACAAUGGAACUGAAACACGGUCCAUACACCUACGGGUGGCAGCAGUAGGGAAUAUUAGAAAUGGGCGAAAGCCUGAUCUAGCAACACCGCGUGUGCGAUGAAGGCCUUCGGGUUGUAAAGCACUUUUUGGAGGGAAUAGGAAGGAAGGUACCUCCAGAAUAAGGAUCGGCUAACUCCGUGCCAGCAGCCGCGGUAAUACGGAGGAUCCAAGCGUUAUCCGGAUUUAUUGGGUUUAAAGGGUGCGCAGGCGGAAGAUUAAGUCGGCGGUGAAAUUUUGCAGCUCAACUGUAAAAGUGCCAUCGAUACUGGUUUUCUUGAGUGUGGAUGAAGUAGGCGGAAUUUGUGGUGUAGCGGUGAAAUGCAUAGAUAUCACGAGGAACUCCGAUUGCGCAGGCAGCUUACUAGGCCAUAACUGACGCUCAGGCACGAAGGCGUGGGGAUCAAACAGGAUUAGAUACCCUGGUAGUCCACGCAGUAAACUAUGAUUAUUUGCUGUUUGCGAUACCCCCGUAAGCCGGCCUUAGCGGAAAGAGUUAAGAAAUCCCACCUGGGGAGUACGUUCGCAGAAAUGAAAACUCAAAGGAAUUGACGGGGGCCCCCACAAAGCGGAGGAACAUGUGGUUAAUUUCGAUGAUACGCGAGGAACCUUACCCGGGCUCGAACGGUGCAUGAAUAUACGAGAGAUUGUAUAGUCCUUCGGGACAUGUAUCGAGGUGCUGCAUGGUUGUCGUCAGCUCGUGUCGUGAGAUGUUGGGUUAAGUCCCGCAACGAGCGCAACCCUUGCCUUUAGUUGCCAGCAUUAAGUUGGGCACUCUAGAGGGACUGCCAGGGAUAACCUGGAGGAAGGUGGGGAUGACGUCAAAUCAUCAUGCCCCUUAUGCUUAGGGCUACACACGUGCUACAAUGGGUGGUACAGAGGGCAGCCAAGUCGUGAGGCCGAGCUAAUCCCUUAAAGCCAUUCUCAGUUCGGAUUGUAGGCUGAAACUCGCCUACAUGAAGCUGGAGUUACUAGUAAUCGCAGAUCAGAAUGCUGCGGUGAAUGCGUUCCCGGGUCUUGUACUCACCGCCCGUCA